GUGCUUGCUUCGUCAGCACGUAUACUAAAAUUGGAACGAUACAGAGAAGAUUAGCAAGGACAUUAGCAAAAAAAAAAGUAAACCAGGUGUAGUUUAUUACCUUUUG
ensembl:snRNA U6 U6 spliceosomal RNA